ACAUAGUAAAUUGUAGAUAUAUUUCUAUAAAGUUCAACUUAAUUUCAUAAGUUAUUUAUGUAAAAAUUCUAAUGUUUUCAGAUAUAUUCCUGCCGUUAGAAUCCGUUAUAAAAGUUUAGUUAAUCAUAGGUUAAAUACUUUACUCGGGUUAAUUUUUGACAUUUUUACUCCUCUUAUAUUAUACUGUUAUAAUUUUUGAAAGGACAUAUUUAUGAUGGCAAAAUUGAAACUAUAAACAGUUUUCUAACGGUUCUCUAAACGGUAACAAACCAUAGAGACAUAUCUGAAAAUAUUAGGACUUUUGUAAGGAUAAUUUAUAAAAAUUAAAAUUUAUAAAAAUAUAUUUAUAAUUCACUAUAUUGGCGGGCACCUAUAUGCAAUUAACCUGUAAA
rnacentral:lncRNA from 1 species